GUGAUAUGAACCGUUAUAACCGGCGAUACCCGAAUGGGGAAACCCAGUGUGACUCGUCACACUAUCAUUAACUGAAUCCAUAGGUUAAUGAGGCGAACCGGGGGAACUGAAACAUCUAAGUACCCCGAGGAAAAGAAAUCAACCGAGAUUCCCCCAGUAGCGGCGAGCGAACGGGGAGGAGCCCAGAGCCUGAAUCAGCAUGUGUGUUAGUGGAAGCGUCUGGAAAGGCGCGCGAUACAGGGUGACAGCCCCGUACACAAAAGCGCAUGUGCUGUGAGCUCGAUGAGUAGGGCGGGACACGUGGUAUCCUGUCUGAAUAUGGGGGGACCAUCCUCCAAGGCUAAAUACUCCUGACUGACCGAUAGUGAACCAGUACCGUGAGGGAAAGGCGAAAAGAACCCCGGCGAGGGGAGUGAAAAAGAACCUGAAACCGUGUACGUACAAGCAGUGGGAGCACCCUUUGGGUGUGACUGCGUACCUUUUGUAUAAUGGGUCAGCGACUUAUAUUCUGUAGCAAGGUUAACCGAAUAGGGGAGCCGGAGGGAAACCGAGUCUUAACCGGGCGUUAAGUUGCAGGGUAUAGACCCGAAACCCGGUGAUCUAGCCAUGGGCAGGUUGAAGGUUGGGUAACACUAACUGGAGGACCGAACCGACUAAUGUUGAAAAAUUAGCGGAUGACCUGUGGCUGGGGGUGAAAGGCCAAUCAAACCGGGAGAUAGCUGGUUCUCCCCGAAAGCUAUUUAGGUAGCGCCUCGUGAA
rnacentral:rRNA from 1 species